rnacentral:rRNA from 1 species
GCAGUAGCCACGGGAAUACAGAGGGUGCGAGCGUUAAUCGGAUUUACUGGGCGUAAAGCGUGCGUAGGCGGCUAAUUGAGUCGGAUGUGAAAUCCCCGAGCUUAACUUGGGAAUUGCAUUCGAUACUGGUUAGCUAGAGUGUGGGAGAGGAUGGUAGAAUUCCAGGUGUAGCGGUGAAAUGCGUAGAGAUCUGGAGGAAUACCGAUGGCGAAGGCAGCCAUCUGGCCUAACACUGACGCUGAGGUACGAAAGCAUGGGGAGCAAACAGGAUUAGAUACCCCCGUAGUCCCUGUCUCUUAUAC